rnacentral:rRNA from 1 species
GACGAGCGCUGGCGGCGUGCCUAAUACAUGCAAGUUGAGCGCUGAAGGCUGGUACUUGUACCAACUGGAUGAGCAGCGAACGGGUGAGUAACGCGUGGGGAAUCUGCCUUUGAGCGGGGGACAACAUUUGGAAACGAAUGCUAAUACCGCAUAAAAACUUUAAACACAAGUUUUAAGUUUGAAAGAUGCAAUUGCAUCACUCAAAGAUGAUCCCGCGUUGUAUUAGCUAGUUGGUGAGGUAAAGGCUCACCAAGGCGAUGAUACAUAGCCGAACUGAGAGGGUGAUCGGCCACAUUGGGACUGAGACACGGCCCAAACUCCUACGGGAGGCAGCAGUAGUGAAUCUGCGGCAAUGGACGAAAGUCUGACCGAGCAACGCCGCGUGAGUGAAGAAGGUUUUCGGAUCGUAAAACUCUGUUGGUAGAGAAGAACGUUGGUGAGAGUGGAAAGCUCAUCAAGUGACGGUAACUACCCAGAAAGGGACGGCUAACUACGUG